UACGUAGGGAGCGAGCGUUGUCCGGAUUCAUUGGGCGUAAAGAGCUCGUAGGCGGCUUGAUAAGUCGGAUGUGAAACCUCCAGGCUCAACCUGGAGUCGCCAUCCGAUACUGUCAUGGCUAGAGUCCGGUAGGGGCCCACGGAACUCCUGGUGUAGCGGUGAAAUGCGCAGAUAUCGUAAGGAAGACCAGUGGCGAAGGCGAGUCUCUGGACAGUUACUGACACUGAGGCACGAAGGCCAGGGGAGCAAACGGG
rnacentral:rRNA from 1 species